UACGAAGGGGGCUAGCGUUGCUCGGAAUCACUGGGCGUAAAGCGCACGUAGGCGGAUUGUUAAGUCAGGGGUGAAAUCCUGGAGCUCAACUCCAGAACUGCCUUUGAUACUGGCGAUCUUGAGUUCGGGAGAGGUGAGUGGAACUCCGAGUGUAGAGGUGAAAUUCGUAGAUAUUCGGAAGAACACCAGUGGCGAAGGCGACUCACUGGCCCGAUACUGACGCUGACGGCGCGAAAGCGUGGGGAGCAAACAGG
rnacentral:rRNA from 1 species